CGCAAGUCUGAUGGAGCGACGCCGCGUGGGUGAUGAAGGCUUUCGGGUCGUAAAACCCUUUUCUGUGUGACGAGCAAGGACGGUAGCACAGGAAUAAGCCUCGGCUAACUACGUGCCAGCAGCCGCGGUAAAACGUAGGAGGCGAGCGUUAUCCGGAGUUACUGGGCGUAAAGCGCGUGUAGGUGGUUGGAUACGUCUGCUGUGAAAUGUCCCGGCUUAACCGGGAGGGUGCGGCAGAUACGGUCUGACUUGAGGGUGACAGAGGAGCGUAGAAUUCCGGGUGUAGUGGUGAAAUGCGUAGAGAUCCGGAGGAAUACCAGUGGCGCAAGCGGCGCUCUGGGUCACAUCUGACACUGAGACGCGAAGGCAUGGGGAGCGAACGGGAUUAGAAACCCCGGUAGUCCAUGCAGUAAACGAUGCAGACUGGGUGUGGGGUACGCAAGUAUUCUGUGCCGAAGCUAACGCGCUGAGUCUGCCGCCUGGGAAGUACGGUCGCAAGACUAAAACUCAAAGGAAUUGACGGGGGCCCGCACAAGCAGCGGAGCGUGUGGUUUAAUUCGAGGCUACACGAAGAACCUUACCUAGGGUCGACAUAUUGGUGGUAGUGAACCGAAAGGGGAACGACGCUUCGGCGAGCCAGUACAGGUGCUGCAUGGUUGUCGUCAGCUCGUGCCGUGAGGUGUUCGGUUAAGUCCGAAAACGAGCGCAACCCUCGGUGUGCGUUACACGUGUCGCACACGACUGCCCGUGAGAAACGGGAGGAAGGUGAGGAUGACGUCAAAUCAGCAUGGCCUAUAUCUCUAGGGCUACACACACGCUACAAUGGACGGUACAAUGCGUUGCGAAGGGGCGACCUGGAGCCAAUCGAGAAAGCCGUUCGAAGUUCGGAUUGCAGGCUGCAACCCGCCUGCAUGAAGCUGGAGUUGCUAGUAACCGCGCGUCAGCCAUAGUGCGGUGAAUACGUUCCCGGGCCUUGUACACACCGCCCGUCACGUCAUGGGAGCUAGUCACGCCUGAAAUCGGGGAGCUAACCGCAAGGAGGCAACCGCUGAAGGCAGGGCUGGUGACUGGGACGAAGUCGUAACAAGGUAGCCGUA
rnacentral:rRNA from 1 species